rnacentral:rRNA from 1 species
CAGUAGCCGCGGUAAUACAGAGGGUGCGAGCGUUAAUCGGAUUUACUGGGCGUAAAGCGUGCGUAGGCGGCUUCUUAAGUCGGAUGUGAAAUCCCUGAGCUUAACUUAGGAAUUGCAUUCGAUACUGGGAAGCUAGAGUAUGGGAGAGGAUGGUAGAAUUCCAGGUGUAGCGGUGAAAUGCGUAGAGAUCUGGAGGAAUACCGAUGGCGAAGGCAGCCAUUUGGCCUAAUACUGACGCUGAGGUACGAAAGCAUGGGGAGCAAACAGGAUUAGAUACCCCGGUAGUCCCUGUCUCUUAUAC